CUGCAGUUGAGCGCUGAAGGUUGGUACUUGUACCGACUGGAUGAGCAGCGAACGGGUGAGUAACGCGUGGGGAAUCUGCCUUUGAGCGGGGGACAACAUUUGGAAACGAAUGCUAAUACCGCAUAAAAACUUUAAACACAAGUUUUAAGUUUGAAAGAUGCAAUUGCAUCACUCAAAGAUGAUCCCGCGUUGUAUUAGCUAGUUGGUGAGGUAAAGGCUCACCAAGGCGAUGAUACAUAGCCGACCUGAGAGGGUGAUCGGCCACAUUGGGACUGAGACACGGCCCAAACUCCUACGGGAGGCAGCAGUAGGGAAUCUUCGGCAAUGGACGAAAGUCUGACCGAGCAACGCCGCGUGAGUGAAGAAGGUUUUCGGAUCGUAAAACUCUGUUGGUAGAGAAGAACGUUGGUGAGAGUGGAAAGCUCAUCAAGUGACGGUAACUACCCAGAAAGGGACGGCUAACUACGUGCCAGCAGCCGCGGUAAUACGUAGGUCCCGAGCGUUGUCCGGAUUUAUUGGGCGUAAAGCGAGCGCAGGUGGUUUAUUAAGUCUGGUGUAAAAGGCAGUGGCUCAACCAUUGUAUGCAUUGGAAACUGGUAGACUUGAGUGCAGGAGAGGAGAGUGGAAUUCCAUGUGUAGCGGUGAAAUGCGUAGAUAUAUGGAGGAACACCGGUGGCGAAAGCGGCUCUCUGGCCUGUAACUGACACUGAGGCUCGAAAGCGUGGGGAGCAAACAGGAUUAGAUACCCUGGUAGUCCACGCCGUAAACGAUGAGUGCUAGAUGUAGGGAGCUAUAAGUUCUCUGUAUCGCAGCUAACGCAAUAAGCACUCCGCCUGGGGAGUACGACCGCAAGGUUGAAACUCAAAGGAAUUGACGGGGGCCCGCACAAGCGGUGGAGCAUGUGGUUUAAUUCGAAGCAACGCGAAGAACCUUACCAGGUCUUGACAUACUCGUGCUAUUCCUAGAGAUAGGAAGUUCCUUCGGGACACGGGAUACAGGUGGUGCAUGGUUGUCGUCAGCUCGUGUCGUGAGAUGUUGGGGUUAAGUCCCGCAACGAGCGCAACCCCUAUUGUUAGUUGCCAUCAUUAAGUUGGGCACUCUAACGAGACUGCCGGUGAUAAACCGGAGGAAGGUGGGGAUGACGUCAAAUCAUCAUGCCCCUUAUGACCUGGGCUACACACGUGCUACAAUGGAUGGUACAACGAGUCGCGAGACAGUGAUGUUUAGCUAAUCUCUUAAAACCAUUCUCAGUUCGGAUUGUAGGCUGCAACUCGCCUACAUGAAGUCGGAAUCGCUAGUAAUCGCGGAUCAGCACGCCGCGGUGAAUACGUUCCCGGGCCUUGUACACACCGCCCGUCACACCACGGGAGUUGGGAGUACCCGAAGUAGGUUGCCUAACCGCAAGGAGGGCG
rnacentral:rRNA from 1 species